GCGGCGGCUUCCCCAGAGCUGUGCAUUUUCUGGUUUGGGCAGGGAUGCCCCUUUCCAUGGCAAGGAGACUGGGACAAUCCUUGGCCUGCAGCUCCCUGCCUGCCCUGCCACUUCAGGAUGUCCCAGUCAGUUUGAGGGAGCGGCGAGCAAUGGAGAGAAGCUUUUCUAGUAAAACCUGAAAAAUUCCCAAGUGAGGAUUCAGGCUGCAAUUAUUUUGGUAUUUCUGUUGCCGCUUCCCAAAGCAGCAGGAUGCGAAUUGCAAGGCUGGUUCAUUACUGUGCUCUCACUCCAGUGAUGUCCCAACGUGGAGCUGAUGAUGCAAUGACUAUUUCCAGUGCAGAGAAUUCUGAUGUCAGACAAGGGAUGUUGAACAGACCGGCCAGAAGACUUGGAACUGAAGAGGGAGAGCUCCCUGUACAGAAAAUAAAACGGAAUGUGGUAUCCUG